rnacentral:antisense_RNA from 1 species
AUCUACAAGGAUGAGCAGAAAACGUAACUUUGCCAUUAACAACAGG